GGCAUUAAUGUCGUGGCUGAAGAUAAUGGGACGGAUGACCCGCUGCUGGAUGGUAGAGGGCUUUUCAAAGCCAUAAUUGUAAAUUCUUUUGUGGUCAUACUUGAUGCCCAUCUCGUCGAAACUCAUUAUUGGUUCCACCCCUUUUGAUGUCUCAAACACCAACUUCGCUCUUCUUCCUCCAUUGCUCGCCUAACCCUUUGGGAAGUUCUCG
rnacentral:lncRNA from 1 species